rnacentral:rRNA from 1 species
AUUGAACGCUGGCGGCAUGCCUUACACAUGCAAGUCGAACGGUAACAGGUUAAGCUGACGAGUGGCGAACGGGUGAGUAAUAUAUCGGAACGUGCCCAGUCGUGGGGGAGUAACUGCUCGAAAGAGCAGCUAAUACCGCAUACGACCUGAGGGUGAAAGCGGGGGAUCGCAAGACCUCGCGCGAUUGGAGCGGCCGAUAU